rnacentral:lncRNA from 1 species
GCAACAAAAUAUUAUAUAAAACCAUUUGAAGUCAAUAAUAUAAAACAAUUUCAUACAAAUAAUAUGUAAAGCAAAUUAAAAUAAAAAAUAUACAAAGUAAUGAAAAAAUAUAAGACACCUUAAAAAUAACAUACAAAAGAGUUUAAAAUAAAUAAUAUGUAAAAGAGAAAUUUAAAAUAAAUAAUGUACAAAAAUAGUUUAAAUAAAAAAAUUAUAUAUAUAUAUGUAGCGACGUAAGUUUUACCUUCGGUCGCUAAUUGUGGUGAUUUAGUGAAAACUUGAAAACUGAAGUUUGAUUUUGAAAUAGAUAAAAAAGGGAGUCAGCAUCGAUCCUUUUUAUAGGUGUGAUCGGAUACCUAAUAUAUUUAUUUUUUAAAACAAAAGAAGGCUGAAUUUGGGUCUAUAUGAAAAUCCAGAGAAAAAUUAGGAUUCGGGAGUCGGUUACGCGUGAGGAAGGUAUUAGCACCCUCGCGACGCCCAAAAUUUGUAUCUUGCAAAACACAUGUUGUCUUAAUUUUCAAAGAUACGAGUUCAAUGUAACAUUUAGUCAUGAUCUGGUUGAAACACGAGAAUUUUCAAUUCUUUUGAUUUUUGAGAAGGACAUACCGUUUUAACACAAGUCGAUUGAUGUUCACCCAACAUAGCGAUGAAAUCGAUGACUAAACGUUAAAUCGUUACGUUGCCUUAUUUGGGCUUCUACAUAUAUAUAUAAAAGUUUAAAAUAAGUAACAUAUGGAAUCUUAAAAUUAAUAAUAAUAAAAGGUUUACGAUAAAUAGUAAAAGAAUUUAAAAUAGUUUACAUAUAAAAUAGUAUAACUAAAUAAAGUAUAAAAAAAACUUAAAAUAGAUAAUACAUAUAUAAUGGUUUAAAAUAAAUAACGUAUAAAAAUAUUUCAAAAUAAGUAAUAUGUACAGUAGUUAAAAUAAAUAAUAUAUGUAAAAUAUUUAAAAUUUAUAAUAAUUUAAAAUACAUAAGACGUAAAAAAAGGAUUAAAAUAAGUAAUAAUAAAAUUAUUUAAAAUAAAUAAUAUAUAAAAAACUUAAAAAGAAUAAUAUUAACAGUUUUUUUUAAAUAAUUAAUUAAUUAAUUAAUUAAACAGAGGAUUAGGCUGAAAUCGAAUUAAAAUUUAAGGGUAAAACUUGUAAAUAAUAGAAAAUAGGCCGUCGAAGACCUAGAUGAAACACGCUGAAACAAAUUAGGGACUGAUUGGGAAAUAUCCCCAGCCCUCACGCGCUGCGUUUCAAGAUGGACCAAACUGAAGCCAACACAAAGCAUGCGGCAAAAUUUAAAAAAAAAAAAACAAAAGAAACAAAUAAAGGUUAGAAUGUAGCGCGCCCUAAAAAUGGAGGGACUAAAGGGAUAGAUAUCCCCAAAAGGGCAAAAUGCGCGGAUCCCCCUGGAACGGGUCGGGUCGCGCGCGGGCAUGCCAUAAACGACGUCAUUUUGGCGCUAGGGUCCCUGGUGCAAAACGACACCGUUUUGCCUUGUUAUUUAAACAAAAUUUUUUAUUUUUUGCCAUUUCUUGUCCCUUUUUUUAAAAAAAAAUCAAAGAGAGCACCCCUCCCCUCUCCCCAUUUUCUCUGUUAGGGUUUCAAGAACCCAUUUUGCGUCGUCUCCAUGCCUGCCGAUCGAGAGAAGAGAGUUUCUCUCCCGGCUUUUUGGGUUUGAUUUCGGGGACGGAGAGAGGGUCUCUGACGAAACGACCACGAGGGAUUUCGGGUAAGUCUUCUCCUCCUCUUUUUUUAUUCUUUUAUUUAAAAUAGAUUUGUAAUAAACAAAAAAUAAAAAAGAAACAUGAAAUCGGAAAGGAAACCAGAAAAGAAAAAUAAAAUAUCGACCUUUUUUAAGCCUCUGUUCUGCUUUUGGAUAUUUUUUAAUGUGUGUAAAAAAUUACAAAGGGAUCGAAUAUGGGAUUUAUAUUUCAUUAUUUUGCUUUCUCUUCUUUUCUUCUCCUUUCUUUGUAACACCCCUUAAUCGGGACGUAUCGAGCAAGAGAUAUCACAUUUGGACGCCAGAACUAAGUUAAUCCAAUUAUCAAAUUCAAGACUUUACUUUAACAUUAAUAGACUUUCUGAAUUUAGUCAAGUCAUUUCUAGGCUUAUUUUAAAAUUUGGAUACAAACGGGGGUUGUUCUGGGCUUAUUCAGGUCAGAAUAGGGUAACAGGGUCAAUGUCGGGACAUUGGGAAUUGAGUGUCACGACAUUGUACUGAUGUUGUGACAUUGAUUUCCUGAUGUCACGACACUGAUCUCCAGAUGUGGUGACAUCGAGAACAAAUUACUUGACGCUGAAGGUCAAAUAUUGCUACACAGGAGACAAAUUGCCUAGAAUAUAUCUAAAACAUCUAAAACCGAGUUUAAACUAUCGAAAACCAUUCCAUAAUACAUCUAAACAAUUUUAGUAUCAAAAUAUAUCAAAUUAUCAUUCAAAACAUCUAAACAAUUCUUCCUUGAUGAUGUGACGAGGAUGAGAAUGGCCACUUCUACGGGUACAAUUUACUUUUUUUGUAUUCAUAUUAAAUUCAAUGUGAAUUAUUAAAUUGAGUAUAUUGUAUGGUACGCAAGAAACAUACAACAUAUGUCAUUUUUAUUAUAUAAGUAUCAAGUGAUUAUUAUUUUUUCAAAAUGUAUCAUCAACGACAAUUAGAUUUGAAUUUUGAAAUUCAAAAUGCAAAUUUCGUUAUAGUUUAAGUUCCAUCAUGCAUGUCUUGACUUAUAUGAAGUGGUCAUUAAAGCUCUUGUUAGAGAUUGUAUAUUAUAUAUGAUUAUUUACAUUUUUAAUCAAUAUAAUUUAUAUAAUAUUAGAAAAUAAAAAAAGGACAUAUGACAUGUUCUAAUAGCGCCAUGUGGUCGCUCAACAUUGGUCAACACUCGCUCAACGGCCGGUCAACGAUCGGCCAAAGACAAGUUUUUUUUAAUAUUUAAAUAUUUAAUUUAUUUUAAAUAAACAUAAUUGUCAUGUGGCAUUUUUUCAUUGGCCAAACUUGCCUAACAUAAUUUUUUUAACGCCCAUUGUAAAAUGGACCAAAAAUAGAGGAAAUUGAUACUUUUAAGUACUAAGUUAAGAAAAAAAAAAGUUUACCAAAGUGGAAAAUGAAUAUGCUUGUGAAUUAAGCCUAAUAAUAAUAACAAUACCAACGUUUGUUCUAUAUUACAUUUUAGUUAUAUGGUUAAAAUAUAUUUUUAAGGCCUAGUUUAACAAUACUUUUGAAAAGCGCUUUUAAAAAGUGCUUUGGAGAAAUACUUUUGAAAAGUUUGAUUUAAUAUUUGAGGGUUUAGCAUUACUCUCAAAAAGUGUUUUUGAAAAAUAAAAUGUUCAUUCUAGACAUGAUAUUAUCAAGUAACAAAUAUAAAUUUAAAUAAUGUUCAAAUUAAUUAAUAUUAUUGCAUUUUAGUAAGAAUAUAAAAAAAAUUUAUUAUAACUGGUUGUUAAUAUUUUAAUAUAUGAAGUAUAAAUUUUAAAUAUUUUUAAGCAAUAAAUAUUAAUUACUUAUAAAAUUUAAUUAGAAUAUAUAAACUCUAUUUUAAAUAUUUAAAUAUAACCAUUAAAUAUUUGUAAUUAGAUAUUAACACAUUUGUAUUAUUUUUUAAAAAAUAUAUUUUUUUAUUUUUAAUUAAUGAUUUUAACACAUUCUUUGUUUCGACGCCUAGAGGAAAUCAAUAUGCAGAACAAUGAUUGGAAUAAAGGUUAUGAGAUGUGGAUGGAGAUUGAACAUACUCCCAUACAAACAUAUGGAGUGAUAUGACAAGGGCAAACCAUGGGUACAUUGCAAUGUGAAAACAAGUGUAAUAUUAUGCUCCAAUCUUUAAAAUAAGUGUACCAAAAUAUUUGUUAAAGAAAACAAGUUCACAGCUCAAAAACUUAGUUCAAUGAUUCUUUGAUUUAAAGUUAUUGAAAAUAUUAACUUUAUUUUCUUUUUAUCUUGUAAUAUUGAUAUCUCUAAUUAUUUUAAUAAAAUAAUAACCAAUCAUAAUAAGUAAGAGAAGAUUAUUGAAGAAAAUUUUGAUAUAAAAAAGAUGCAUUUAUUUAUUUUAUAUAUGCAACCUUUUGAUACAACCUAAUUAUUACAUCCAAAAUAAUAAAGUUUAGUAACUUAAUUUUUUUGUUAAACAAGGAACAUUUGGAUAAACAUAUCCUUCGUCCCAACUUUGAACAACAUUCAAACAAUGAGAUUUGGGGUGCCCAUCAUACAUUUUACCAUUUAUUCCGUAAUCCAACUGUAUGUCUUUCAUGCGGAUAUUUUUGCAUGGAACUGACUUACUGCAUGAAAGUUCCACCGCAAUUUCACCGUUUGUUGUCCCUCUUAAAUCAUUAUAUAAGAUAUUGCUAAUCUCCACAGCUGUACUCUGUAAAAUUAAAAUACAAAAUACAAAAAUAUCAUUACAAUAUAUAUGUUAAAUUGAAUAUUCGAUUGAAUUCAUGAAGAGAUUAAAAUGAAACUUACAUAAUUCUUGCAAUGUUGAUGAAGAGGGCAAGUGUAUUGAUCAAUAAUAAUAGGUCUAAUUACUUUACUAAACGAUAUCUGUUCAAAUCUUAUAUAUCUUGCAUAUCCAUGUCCUCCCUGUACACAUAACAUGAUAAUUAGUUAAAUAUAAUGUAAAAAUAAUAAUCAUAAAAUACAUUUAAUUAAAAAUUUAAUUACCUGCCAUGUCUUUAUUUUAAGACCAUUCUCUGUAGCAUAAAAGUUAGCUCUCCUUACAGUAACAUAUUCAACUGUCUCCCUUCUUCCAUUUUCACCAAGACUUCCAAUACUUCAUAUAAAAGUGAAUAAUAAAAACUAAAUAAGUAAAAAAAAACAUAUAUGUUUUAAAUCAAAAUACCUAAUUCUAUAAGAGUGAAAAAUAAAAACAAACAAAUAAGUGAAUUUUUUUAAUAAAAAUAAUAAUAAAAUACCUAAUUCCAUGACCUGGACCACAAAAAAUCCGAUUAAUGUUAAUAUAUUUUGACCCGUCUCCAAUUCCUAUACAAUCAUCACCUAAAAGAAAAAAAGAAAAAAAAUGUCAAACCCAAUACUUGUCUAUAUAUAUUUUGUUAUGAAAAUAAAUACUUAUUUUUUAUAUACCAGUCUUAAUGAUUGAGGAGGCUAUGGUAACAUUGGUGGAAUGUUGGAUACGAAUGCCAUCGGUGUUGGGACUAUCUUUUGGAGCUUUGAUAUUGAGUUUAGAAGCAUGAACGGAUGAAGAUCUUUCAAUUGAAAUAUGCCAUUUUCGACUGUCCACGGAAGUUAAGCCACUAAUAUGCACAUUCUUAGAGUCUAAGAUGGCAAAACUCUAAGCAAAACAAACAAUAAAAAGGAUAAAUAAAAUUGGAGACUAAAUGAAAAAAAUCUCCUAUUUUUUAAUAAGUGAAGGCAUACCGCUGCUUUUUGCGAAGAACAAAGCUGUCAACAGAAAAUUUGAUAAAUAUAAUUAGAAAUUAUAUAAAAUUGUGUUGAAGCAAAUAUUAAGAAGCUGCAAAAAAUCCAAACUAAUAGUAUACCACUUUAUUAUGCAUGCAACCCAUUUGCCACCAUUUUUGUCCUUGGCCAUGGAGGCUUCCAGUUCCUUGAAUGAUGAGGCCAUCGAAAUGUUGAAAGGUUAUCCAAUUGUUACAGUUUGUUUCUUUGCAUUUCCAUGAAGAUGGAUCACUUGGGGCAAUGAGUAUGCCAUCAAUCUAAAUAACCCAACUCAAAAAUUUUGUAAAUAAUAUUAUUAAUAAAAUUAAAGAAAAGAUGAAAACAAUUAUUAUUAUUACCUGAAAAGUAAUGUUUUUUGGUCGACAUUCACCAUUAAAAGUCAAGGGUUGCAGCAAAAACUUUUGUCCAUAAGGAACACGAAAUAUCCCUGAAGAGAUAUGCGAACUACAGACAACAUUCCAUGCAUUCUUGAAGGCCUAAAAUAGUUAUAUAAAUAAACAAUCAGAAUAUCAUAAACUUCUCAACUAUAGCAUUUAAGAUGAAAAUAAACCUCUGUAUCAUCACUCUCUCCAUCUCCAAUGGCUCCUGCAAGGUUGACGUCAUAAACAAAUGGUUCCAUAGAUUGAACGAAUAAAACCCAUUGAAAGAAAGAAAUAGAAAACAACAUUUUUAAACCCAUAUUAAUCAUUUUGAAUAUUUAAAUCUGAAUAAUAAAACAGUACAUAGCAGUAUAUAUAGGAGAAAAACUUAGGCUUGCUUACUAAACGAAGGAUAAGUUUUUUAAAUUUAAACAUUAAUUUCUUUUAAAUCUAUUUUUAAAAAUAUUUAUUUAAAUUCAAAUCCAAAAUCAAAUCUAGUUUUUAAGCUAAUCUAAUUAAUUUGAUUCUCAAUUUUAAAUUUAUUUAUUUUGAAAAUAUUUUAAAAUUGAUAACCAUCAUUUUGUUUUUUAAAAUAUAUUUUAUUUAAUUGAUAUUUAUCAUACACACUACUUAAUUUUUCCAUUAAUUUUUUAAUCUUAUUCAAUGUUCUUUUAAAAACGAUUUAGAUUUUUUUAGGGAUAAAACUAAUAAAAAUAUUUAUCUCAAAACACUAAAUCUCAAUUUCGUACUUCAAUUGUUUUUAACAACUUUGUGGUUGAAUAAGGUUUUCAAAGUUGGAAUAGUGGUUGAAUUGGUUAGACCACCCGUUUCCAGUCCGACCAGUCCAACUGAUUUAUCCACUUUAAUUGAAAAAGUCAUUAAAAAAUUAUAAAUAAAUCAAAUUAGUUCAACUAUACGAUUGGCCAAUUCAACUAGUUCACAAGUCAGCCGGUCUAACCCCAUGUUUCGAGUGGCUAUACUGAUAUUGAAAACAAUGGGAUUGAGUUAAAUUAUUGCAAGCUUUUAUAUGUUAUAGUCAAUUUAGCCAAUUUUUUUGUGAGUGAAAUGAUAUUUGGUUAAACUACAAAAUUUUAUCACUUAUCUAUAGUUUAACUUACUUUUUUUGGUCACAAUACUUCUUCAAUAAAGUUAUAAUAUAGUUACUAAUGCUUUCGAUUUAAUUGUUGUUAACAAUGUGAUAAGAAGACGUGACAUAUUAUAUCAUCAUUUUAGAUUAAAACUUCAUAUCAAAUUACAUAACUAGUCCUUAUAUUUUUAUUUUCGAGUAAUCUAAUUCUUUUCGUCUUUUUAAGUUUCUUUUUUGUCGAAACCAUUUUUGAAAACGGAGUCGACUUUGUUUAAAAAUUAAAAAAAAAACAAAAAUGGGGGUCGCCACCGAUUUUUUUGAGAUGUGAUCUGAUCACCUAACAAUUUUGUAAUAAAGUAUUUUGAUUUAUUAAAACAACGAUUUUGGUCUACAGAAUUUGAGAAAACGGGUUCGGGAGUCGGUUACGUGCGAGGAAGGAUUAGCAUCCUCGUCACGCCCAAAAUUGGUACCUAAUUGAUUAAUUAACGUCUUAAUGUCGAGACUUGAAAUUUUGAAAAGAUUUUUAAAAUACGAUCCUUUUUUAUCAAUGUUCAUUUUUUUUAAAUGCUUGAAUUGAAUUGAAGCGAGCUUCAAAGGCCCACUCGUCCCGAGAUAACAAAAUGCCACAUCCCGUAAGUUAGGAUGCGGCGUUGGAAUUCUCGAGAGCAAGUUUGCCUUUAAUUUUUAUCGAAAACUUCAUGUACUUUGAAAUGCAAAAGGAUAUUUGGCUAUUUUGGUUUAACAAGAAAAUCGAAACCCCGUAAGUUAGGGUACGAUUUCUUUCAUUCGCAAAACGCGAAAUAUUGCCUUUUCUUGAAAAUUUUAUUUUUGAAUAAUAACGAGUAUAGCAAUUAACGAUGCGUGUUCAUUUUGUUUCCAGCAAUACAAAUUGGUCUAUAUUGAACAAAUACGUUGGAGCUUGAUGCACGAUGUGAUUUGAACUAGAUAAAACAAAAAUGUAACGUAGAGCAUGGAAUAAUAAAACACGAAUUAGAUGCGAGGUUAAUGAACGUCAACAAUAUGAAGAUGUUAAUAAAUAAUUUCUAGAACGUGUAAUGACAAUAUUAUUUAAAUACCAAUAUUAACAAAUGAAGAAUAUGCAACAAAAUUUUAUAUAAAACCAUUUGAAGUCAAUAAUAUAAAACAAUUUCAUACAAAUAAUAUGUAAAGCAAAUUAAAAUAAAAAAUAUACAAAGUAAUGAAAAAAUAUAAGACACCUUAAAAAUAACAUACAAAAGAGUUUAAAAUAAAUAAUAUGUAAAAGAGAAAUUUAAAAUAAAUAAUGUACAAAAACAGUUUAAAUAAAAAAAUUAUAUAUAUAUAUAUAUGUAGCGACGUAAGUUUUACCUUCGGUCGCUAAUUGUGGUGAUUUAGUGAAAACUUGAAAACUGAAGUUUGAUUUUGAAAUAGAUAAAAAAGGGAGUCAGCAUCGAUCCUUUUUAUAGGUGUGAUCGGAUACCUAAUAUAUUUAUUUUUUAAAACAAAAGAAGGCUGAAUUUGGGUCUAUAUGAAAAUCCAGAGAAAAAUUAGGAUUCGGGAGUCGGUUACGCGUGAGGAAGGUAUUAGCACCCUCGCGACGCCCAAAAUUUGUAUCUUGCAAAACACAUGUUGUCUUAAUUUUCAAAGAUACGAGUUCAAUGUAACAUUUAGUCAUGAUCUGGUUGAAACACGAGAAUUUUCAAUUCUUUUGAUUUUUGAGAAGGACAUACCGUUUUAACACAAGUCGAUUGAUGUUCACCCAACAUAGCGAUGAAAUCGAUGACUAAACGUUAAAUCGUUACGUUGCCUUAUUUGGGCUUCUACAUAUAUA